rnacentral:rRNA from 1 species
AGAGAGAGACAUGCGCGCAUAUCAUAAGCGGAGGAAAAGAAACUAACAAGGAUUCCCCUAGUAACGGCGAGUGAAGCGGGAAGAGCUCAAAUUUGAAAUCUUAAAGGGUUUCCCUUUACGAAUUGUAGUUUAAAGAAGUGUUUUCUGUUGAGGUUUUGGUAAAAGUUCUUUGGAAUAGGACAUCAUAGAGGGUGAGAAUCCCGUAUUUGACCUUUACUUUCAACUUUGUGAUACACUUUCAAAGAGUCGGAUUGUUUGGGAAUGCAGUCCAAAAUGGGUGGUAAAUUUCAUCUAAAGCUAAAUAUUGGCGAGAGACCGAUAGCGAACAAGUACCGUGAGGGAAAGAUGAAAAGAACUUUGAAAAGAGAGUUAAACAGUACGUGAAAUUGUCAAAAGGGGAGCGUUUGACACCAGUGUUGUUUUUCUGAAAAUCAAUUAAAGAACUGUUUAUGCUAAGCUGUUUAGGACUUUAUCAGCUAACUGUUUAGUUUUGAGCUUUUCUUUAAUGCACUUUUCAGUUAACAAGUCAACAUCAAUUUCUUUUGCUGUAAAAAAGCUUGAGGAAGGUGGCUUGAGAUUCGUCUUAAGUGUUUAUAGCCUCUUGCCUAUGCAGUCGGAGAGAUUGAGGUCUGCAGCGUAGAUCCUUCGGGGCUAAAUGCAUUUGUGCUAAGUUAUAGCAUUUUAUAGACAACUUGUUGACUAUGAUUUGUCUUGUAGCUUACUCGCUUAUGUUAUUUUACCUACGCUUAGGAUGUUGAGCGCAUGUCUCUCUC